UUUAAGCAUGCAAGUCGAACGAUAAUAGGGUGCUUGCACUCUAUGAGAGUGGCGAACGGGUGAGUAACACGUAGAUGAUCUAUCCUUGGAUCCGGGAUAGCCUGUGGAAACACAGGGUAAUACUGGAUACGACCUUAUCUGUGAAGGGAUAAGGGGAAAGUCGCUUCGGCGACGUCCGGGGCUGAGUCUGCGGCUCAUUAGCUAGUUGGUAGGGUAAUGGCCUACCAAGGCGACGAUGAGUAGCCGGCCUGAGAGGGUGAUCGGCCACACUGGGACUGAGAUACGGCCCAGACUCCUACGGGAGGCAGCAGCUAAGAAUCUUCCGCAAUGGGGGCAACCCUGACGGAGCGACGCCGCGUGAAUGAAGAAGGCCGGAAGGUUGUAAAGUUCUUUUCCUGGGGGAGAAUAAUGAUUGGAGGAAAUGCCAGUCAGAUGACGUGAACCAGGGAAUAAGCCCCGGCUAAUUACGUGCCAGCAGCCGCGGUAACACGUAAGGGGCAAGCGUUGUUCGGAUUUAUUGGGCGUAAAGGGCGUGUAGGCGGUUAAGUGUGUCUGGUGUGAAAGACUCCGGCUCAACCGGAGGGCCGCGCUGGAAACUGCUUAACUAGAGUGAUGGAGGGGGAGCUGGAAUUCCUGGUGUAGGGGUGAAAUUUGUAGAGAUCAGGAAGAACACCGGAGGUGAAGGCGAGCUCCUGGCCAUAUACUGACGCUGAGGCGCGAAAGCGUGGGGAGCGAACAGGAUUAGAUACCCUGGUAGUCCACGCUGUAAACGAUGUGCACUAGGUGUUGGUCCGUUGAGGAUCAGUGCCGUAGCUAACGCGUUAAGUGCACCGCCUGGGGAGUAUGCUCGCAAGGGUGAAACUCAAAGGAAUUGACGGGGGCCCGCACAAGCGGUGGAGCAUGUGGUUUAAUUCGAUACGCGAGAAACCUUACCAGGGCUUGACAUAAGCAUGACGGUUGUAGAGAUACAGCUUCUCUUCGGAGCAUGUUUACAGGUGCUGCAUGGCUGUCGUCAGCUCGUGCUGUGAAGUGUUGGGUUAAGUCCCGCAACGAGCGCAACCCUUGCUGUCUGUUGCCAACAGGUAAUGCUGGGGACUCAGACGGUACUGCCGGUGACAAACCGGAGGAAGGUGGGGACGACGUCAAGUCAUCAUGGCCCUUAUGUCCUGGGCUACACACGUGCUACAAUGGCCGGUACAGAGCGACGCGAAACCGCGAGGUGGAGCAAAUCGCAGAAAACCGGUCCCAGUUCGGAUUGAAGUCUGAAACCCGACUUCAUGAAGGUGGAAUCGCUAGUAAUCGCGCAUCAGCAUGGCGCGGUGAAUAUGUUCCCUGGCCUUGUACACACCGCCCGUCACACCACCCGAGUUGGGGGUACCCGAAGUCGCUCGUCUAACCUGUAAGGGAGGACGGUGCCGAAGGUAUGCCUGGUAAGGGGGGUGAAGUCGUAACAAGGUA
rnacentral:rRNA from 1 species